UGUAGAACUUUAUCCCUGAGAAGUAUCAACGUUUAUGGGUUUAGUAGGAAAAAAAGAACCUGAAAGGACAGUAUGGCAGCUGGAGAAAGGAGGAAAACCAGAGGAGUAUGACUUCAAGGAGAAGCAAGUCACCAGGUGCAGCCCACAGUCAAAGGAAAGUAAUCAUACAGUGAUGGAACUACAGGCACACCUCGGAGAUAUUGCAGAUUCAGUUCUAGACUACCACAAUUAAAUGCACUCGAGUCCACUGUCACAGAAGAGUCAGUGAAACAAAUGCCUUAUAAGGGAUAGACCGACGGACCAAUGGGACACAACAUUGAGACUUAAAACAACUCUGCACAAUAUGGAAGCCUCAGUAUCUCAUAGAA